ACUGCAGCCUGUGGGAAGGACUCACAUUGGAGAGGUUCAUGGAGGACUGUCUGCAGUGGGAGGAACCCUACACUGGAGCAGGGUAAGAGUGUGAGGAGUGCUCCCUCUGAGGAGGAAGGAGAGGCAGAGACAACAUGUGAUGAACUGACCACAACCCCCCUCCCCCUUUGCUGCUCCA